AGCGAACGCUGGCGGCAGGCCUAACACAUGCAAGUCGAACGGACCCUUCGGGGUUAGUGGCGGACGGGUGAGUAACACGUGGGAACGUGCCUUUAGGUUCGGAAUAGCUCCUGGAAACGGGUGGUAAUGCCGAAUGUGCCCUUCGGGGGAAAGAUUUAUCGCCUUUAGAGCGGCCCGCGUCUGAUUAGCUAGUUGGUGAGGUAACGGCUCACCAAGGCGACGAUCAGUAGCUGGUCUGAGAGGAUGACCAGCCACACUGGGACUGAGACACGGCCCAGACUCCUACGGGAAGCAGCAGUGGGGAAUCUUGCGCAAUGGGCGAAAGCCUGACGCAGCCAUGCCGCGUGAAUGAGGAAGGUCUUAGGAUUGUAAAAUUCUUUCACCGGGGACGAUAAUGACGGUACCCGGAGAAGAAGCCCCGGCUAACUUCGUG
rnacentral:rRNA from 1 species